AAGAAGGAUAAAGGUUUGGGUCUAGUAUAUCAGAUUUGAGUCCAUAAGAAAACCAAAAUGUUACGCAUAAGUUGAAAGAACAUAGCAUGAUAAAACUUCUGCCUUUCAGGAAAAUCAUCACACACAUACCAUGCAAGCACCACAUGAGACAAUCAAGCCAUAUACCAUGAUUACGAUAUAAGUCCAAGAAAGCUUCCAAAUACAACUUCCUGCUUAUUCAGCGAGGAUUCAAAACUGUCAAGUUGCAAAAACAUAGGUUAUGGUAUAUUCCUUGUUUGAUGCAAUUGCUAAAAAGAUGAAAGGUCUGCCAAACAUACAUUGGUUAAAUCAACUCGGAUGAUUCUGACGACGACCGCGGUAUGACCGUCUGAGCGGUUCCAUCGGACAGCAAGGAUGGGCACCCAUGGCAAUGCCAGCGUCGGCGGUGGCAGGCUCCUCUCCUUGAAGAGCUGGACGUCGGGAUUUUCUCACGAAAUAUGCACCUAAUUGAACAUGAAUCGAACUUGAAAAGAUCCAUCACACACAUACUGUUCCAUGAAAGACAUAUUUAUUUAAAGUAAGCUGAUAUGAAUAAAUAGCACUUAUUAUUGCCAUUCUGGUUGUUCAUGCAAGUGGUUGUAUCUACAACACAUUACUACCUUUAUCGAAUUUAGGGCAACAACUGAAAUCAUUUUUACUAAGCUGGUCCAAUAAGAAGAAAGACUUAAUAAUGACAUAUGACUUUGCCAUAAACUUAACAGUCUUCUUAUCUCUACUUAUGACUAAUGAAGAUCGGUUUCCCUGCAAGUAUUAAGAUUGUACCAGAACUGAAUUAGUCAUUUUGGUGCUAACAAAUAAGCAUAGAAUUUAGUAAUGUACAAAUGAUUCAGGAGUCAGGACACACUUGUGGAGAAUAAAUUACUGAAGCAAGUUCUGGUUGUUGUUUCUUCAUAUCAAUUUUGUGAGUCUUUUUCUCAAACAUGCAUCUUGUAUUAGAAGACCGCCAAGAAGGGAAGCAAAAUAAAGAAAUUAAGCAGAGUAUUAUCUAUGUAAUCCUCCAUAGCAUAUUUAAAUCAAGCAAGCCACCUAACAUAGCAAAGGAUACCAUUAAAAAUAGCUACAAACAAUCUCAUCCGCCUUUCAUUAUAAGGAUACAAGCCCGACAUGUCUCCAAAUUGCUGAGAAAAGGCUAAAUAGUAAUCUGAGAUUCUGACCAGUAAGUUUACUGGCUCAAGCAUCUAAGCCUAGACCAUUACUUAGCAUGAAUUACUGGCUAAGGGUAAUCACGAAUAGGCAUACACAAAGGAGGAUUACAUGCGCGAAACCACAUGUGCUAUCAUUUCAUAGGCAUACACACGAACACCUGCUGUGCUAGAACGAACAUGGCAAUGUAUGUGACUGAAAUCAGAAGACAACUGAAGAAGAUUGUAUCAAGCAAGAUAAAAGAUGCACCCCCAAUUUAACUCACCUAUGUUUGAUCCAUUUUGGCUAGCUCCAGCGACAGUGGCAGAAGCAGGAAGGAGAAACACGGUGGCGGCAGCAGCAACGACAGAGGAGAGACCGUGUUGCAACGACAUGGAAGAGAGAUAGUAGAACCGGGCGCUACGCCAGCUGGGGGAGAGGACUUACCAGCACAGCGACGGUCUUGGUGCCUGCGAUAGCACCGAAGGCCAUCAGCGGCGCGCUCGGGUGAGCCGGCGGCGACACACUGGGAAUAGGCGGAAGAGCGCGCUCCAGACGCGCGGUGGC
rnacentral:lncRNA from 1 species